rnacentral:rRNA from 1 species
AGACAUACAGGUCGAGCAAGGAUGAAAAUCGGACUUAGUGAUCCGGUGGUUCUGCGUGGAAGGGCCAUCGCUCAACGGAUAAAAGCUACCCUGGGGAUAACAGGCUUAUCUCCCCCAAGAGUCCACAUCGACGGGGAGGUUUGGCACCUCGAUGUCGGCUCAUCACAUCCUGGGGCUGUAGUAGGUCCCAAGGGUUGGGCUGUUCGCCCAUUAAAGUGGUACGCGAGCUGGGUUCAGAACGUCGUGAGACAGUUCGGUCCCUAUCCGUCGCAGGCGUAGGAAAUUUGAGAAGACCUGUCCUUAGUACGAGAGGACCGGGAUGGACAUACCUCUGGUGUACCAGUUGUCCUGCCAAGGGCAUGGCUGGGUAGCUAUGUACGGAAUGGAUAAGCGCUGAAAGCAUCUAAGCGCGAAGCCAACUUCAAGAUAAGAUUUCCCACCGCAAGGGUAAGACCCCAGAAAGACUAUCUGGUUGAUAGGUCGAAGGUGUAAGUGCAGCAAUGUAUUUAGCUUAUCGAUACUAAUAGGUCGAGGACUUGACCAAU